rnacentral:rRNA from 1 species
AUUGAACGCUGGCGGUAGGCCUAACACAUGCAAGUCGAACGGCAGCACAGUAAGAGCUUGCUCUUACGGGUGGCGAGUGGCGGACGGGUGAGGAAUACAUCGGAAUCUACUUUUUCGUGGGGGAUAACGUAGGGAAACUUACGCUAAUACCGCAUACGACCUACGGGUGAAAGCAGGGGAUCUUCGGACCUUGCGCGAUUGAAUGAGCCGAUGUCGGAUUAGCUAGUUGGCGGGGUAAAGGCCCACCAAGGCGACGAUCCGUAGCUGGUCUGAGAGGAUGAUCAGCCACACUGGAACUGAGACACGGUCCAGACUCCUACGGGAGGCAGCAGUGGGGAAUAUUGGACAAUGGGCGCAAGCCUGAUCCAGCAAUACCGCGUGGGUGAAGAAGGCCUUCGGGUUGUAAAGCACUUUUGUUGGGAAAGAAAAGCAGCAGGUUAAUACCCCGCUGUUCUGACGGUACCCAAAGAAUAAGCACCGGCUAACUUCGUG